GAUGAACGCUGGCGGCGUGCCUAAUACAUGCAAGUCGAGCGAACAGACGAGGAGCUUGCUCCUCUGACGUUAGCGGCGGACGGGUGAGUAACACGUGGAUAACCUACCUAUAAGACUGGGAUAACUUCGGGAAACCGGAGCUAAUACCGGAUAAUAUAUUGAACCGCAUGGUUCAAUAGUGAAAGACGGUUUUGCUGUCACUUAUAGAUGGAUCCGCGCCGCAUUAGCUAGCUGGUAAGGUAACAGCUUACCAAGGCGACGAUGCGUAGCCGACCUGAGAGGGUGAUCGGCCACACUGGAACUGAGACACGGUCCAGACUCCUACGGGAGGCCGCAGUAGGGAAUCUUCCGCAAUGGGCGGAAGCCUGACGGAGCAACGCCGCGUGAGUGAUGAAGGUCUUCGGAUCGUAAAACUCUGUUAUUAGGGAAGAACAAAUGUGUAAGUAACUAUGCACGUCUUGACGGUACCUAAUCAGAAAGCCACGGCUAACUACGUG
rnacentral:rRNA from 1 species